ensembl:piRNA 21ur-535 ncRNA
UGGCACUACCACUCACCACUU